CAAAAACAUUUUUUCUUGUUAGUGUUUGAAGUAUGGCCUGCCCGCUGACGUUUUAGUUGAAGGGCCGCGGUAUUUUGACCGUGCAAAGGUAGCAUAAUCAUUAGUUCUUUAAUUGUGAUCUGGUAUGAAUGGCUUGACGAGACACAAACUGUCUCAGGGGUAUUGUUAAUUGAAGUUGAAUUUGGUUUUUAAGUUAAAAUUCUUAAAUGUUUUUAUGGGACGAGAAGACCCUAUAGAGUUUUACAUUUGUUAUAACUUAUGUUAUUGUUUGUUUUUAUUUUAAGUUUUGUUUUUGUUUUGUUGGGGUGAUGGGAGGAAUAAUAUUUAACUCCUCUUUAUAUUUGUAUAUUUAUGUAUAUAUUGUUUGAUCCAUUUAUUUUGAUUAUAAAAUUAAAUUACCUU
rnacentral:rRNA from 1 species